CUUUUAUGGAGAGUUUGAUCCUGGCUCAGAGUGAACGCUGGCGGCGUGCCUAAUACAUGCAAGUCGAACGAUGAAGCUUCUAGCUUGCUAGAAUGCUGAUUAGUGGCGCACGGGUGAGUAACGCAUAGGUCAUGUGCCUCUUAGUUUGGGAUAGCCAUUGGAAACGAUGAUUAAUACCAGAUACUCCCUACGGGGGAAAGAUUUAUCGCUAAGAGAUCAGCCUAUGUCCUAUCAGCUUGUUGGUAAGGUAAUGGCUUACCAAGGCUAUGACGGGUAUCCGGCCUGAGAGGGUGAACGGACACACUGGAACUGAGACACGGUCCAGACUCCUACGGGAGGCAGCAGUAGGGAAUAUUGCUCAAUGGGGGAAACCCUGAAGCAGCAACGCCGCGUGGAGGAUGAAGGUUUUAGGAUUGUAAACUCCUUUUGUUAGAGAAGAUAAUGACGGUAUCUAACGAAUAAGCACCGGCUAACUCCGUGCCAGCAGCCGCGGUAAUACGGAGGGUGCAAGCGUUACUCGGAAUCACUGGGCGUAAAGAGCGCGUAGGCGGGAUAGUCAGUCAGGUGUGAAAUCCUAUGGCUUAACCAUAGAACUGCAUUUGAAACUACUAUUCUAGAGUGUGGGAGAGGUAGGUGGAAUUCUUGGUGUAGGGGUAAAAUCCGUAGAGAUCAAGAGGAAUACUCAUUGCGAAGGCGACCUGCUGGAACAUUACUGACGCUGAUUGCGCGAAAGCGUGGGGAGCAAACAGGAUUAGAUACCCUGGUAGUCCACGCCCUAAACGAUGGAUGCUAGUUGUUGGAGGGCUAGUCUCUCCAGUAAUGCAGCUAACGCAUUAAGCAUCCCGCCUGGGGAGUACGGUCGCAAGAUUAAAACUCAAAGGAAUAGACGGGGACCCGCACAAGCGGUGGAGCAUGUGGUUUAAUUCGAAGAUACACGAAGAACCUUACCUAGGCUUGACAUUGAGAGAAUCCGCUAGAAAUAGUGGAGUGUCUAGCUUGCUAGACCUUGAAAACAGGUGCUGCACGGCUGUCGUCAGCUCGUGUCGUGAGAUGUUGGGUUAAGUCCCGCAACGAGCGCAACCCCCUUUCUUAGUUGCUAACAGGUUAUGCUGAGAACUCUAAGGAUACUGCCUCCGUAAGGAGGAGGAAGGUGGGGACGACGUCAAGUCAUCAUGGCCCUUACGCCUAGGGCUACACACGUGCUACAAUGGGGUGCACAAAGAGAAGCAAUACUGCGAAGUGGAGCCAAUCUUCAAAACACCUCUCAGUUCGGAUUGUAGGCUGCAACUCGCCUGCAUGAAGCUGGAAUCGCUAGUAAUCGCAAAUCAGCCAUGUUGCGGUGAAUACGUUCCCGGGUCUUGUACUCACCGCCCGUCACACCAUGGGAGUUGUGUUUGCCUUAAGUCAGGAUGCUAAAUUGGCUACUGCCCACGGCACACACAGCGACUGGGGUGAAGUCGUAACAAGGUAACCGUAGGUGAACCUGCGGUUGGAUCACCUCCUUUCU
rnacentral:rRNA from 1 species